rnacentral:lncRNA from 12 species
GAGUCAGAGAUCAAGGUGGUGUGAUGGAACGUCCUUUUUGUCCCUUUCUCCCAGCUUCUGGUGGCUCCUUUGUUUGCAGACGCAUCCCCCCCCAAUCUCUGUCUUCACCUUUAUAUGAUAUUCACCCGGUGUGCAUACUCAUGUUCAGAUUUCCCCUUUUUAUAAGGACACCAGUUGUAUUGGGUUGAUGGUCCACUCUGCUCCAACAUUACCCCAUCUUAACUAAUUAAAGGUGCAACAACCCUAUCCCUAAAUAAGAUCACAGUCUGAGGUACAGGGAAUAGGAAUUCAGAUGAAUGAAUGAAUUUGGGAGGAAUGCAAUUCAACUCCUAACGAUCCCCGAUGCAAGCGAGCCAGCCGCCUCUGGUCACUGGCUCCUUGCCUGCUCAGUCUCUAACUAGACUGCUUUUCCCAUCUUCCUUCUUCAUUUUCUCUUUGCUCACUGCCGUAAGGAAAACCAUGACUCUCCUGAAGAGAGAGACUCUUCCUUAUAAUCUGCUGCUGGGGCCUUUCCCGAAAACUACAGAGCAAUAUGAAUCUCUCCUUUUACUGUCCACUCAUUUCACCGGUAGACCCAGGUUUUGACACACCACAUGCUUCUGCCAGAAUAAAGGUGCCGCCGAGGGCAAGACAACUCACUUGGUGGACAUAACAAGCAAUCUGGCCUCCACAUCGACAAUCCAGAUGGCUGUUAGUAGCUGAGCGGGGCUGGCCAUCAGCAAACUCAAUCCAGCUCCUUUAUUACGGGCGACCUUCUCCCUGUGGCCUGCAAGCCACAUGGUCUUGUCUAAGGGACUGUGUGUUUUGAAUGUAAUGGGUGUUUUUCAAUUUCUAACAUCCACACCUCGGUUCAUUUUUAAAACUCAUGUGCCAUUUGGAAAUGUGCUAAAUGGGAAACCGUGAAUAAUAUCCUGUUUUGACAUCUUCCUAAAGCAAAGUGCUCAUGAAUCUUGAGGCAUGUGAUCUAUUAAUUAAUGUAGGCAUUGAUCAAUGGAGAGCUAAACCCAGGUCUGAUCUGACUCCCUGCAUGGUCUGAGACUGGCGCCCCUGCCUGGAGUUUGCUCAUCUCUGGAGACAGAGUCAUAGGUCCCUCCCAGCUUUCACAGAAAUGGAUUUGUCUAAUUAAAUUAAGUCCGAUUCUAUUCAAUUCACUAUAUUUCAAAUAUGUAUCUACACAGUGUCAGAAACUCACGGGUAGGUGGCCCAUGUUCUCAGGGAGCUCAAAAUAACACUUUAUUCAAUUAAUUUUACUAUUUAGUCUUGACCCUGAGUUGUUUUCAAAAGCAUCCAUGAAGCCAAAGAAGAGGACCUGAAAUAAUGCAGAUAUGCCAAAGCACUAAACAGAGGACCCAAUCACUACGUAUAGAAAUCUCUAGAACACAGUGCAAUCCUGUGAAGUAAACCCUGAGUUUCACACCGAGGCUAUGGCUGACUGGCUGUGGGAGAAGGGAGACUCAAAGGGGGUGGAAAGAGUCAGAGAACUUGAAGAAAUCUGAGAACAGAGCCCACUGAACCUUCUCUUACAGGAAUGAAAGGGGACAUAUAUCCAACCUCAAGAGGUAGGGAACAGAAAGAAAGAAUAACUCCAAUCCAGAAAUGCGAAGGGGUGUGUGAGGCUCAAGCU